rnacentral:sRNA from 1 species
AGUUAUUUUUGGUUUU